rnacentral:rRNA from 1 species
CGGGGGGGGGCAAGCGUUGUUCGGAAUUACUGGGCGUAAAGGGCGCGUAGGCGGCUCGCUAAGUCGGGUGUGAAAACUCUGGGCUCAACCCAGAGCCUGCACUCGAAACUGACGAGCUAGAGUUCUGGAGGGGAAAGCGGAAUUCCUGGUGUAGCGGUGAAAUGCGUAGAUAUCAGGAGGAACACCGGUGGCGAAGGCGGCUUUCUGGACAGAAACUGACGCUGAGGCGCGAAAGCUAGGGGAGCAAACAGGAUUAGAUACCCUGGUAGUCCUAGCCCUAAACGAUGGAUACUUGCUGUGAGGGGGAUUGAAUCCCUUCGUGGCGAAGCUAACGCAUUAAGUAUCCCGCCUGGGGAGUACGGUCGCAAGGCUG